rnacentral:miRNA from 1 species
UCGGAGGAGAGCAGACCGGUG